AAGCAAUCCUCUGUAGCAGAUGAUCAAAACUGUCUGACACAAUUUUAGCUUGCUAUAGCAACAAAGUCUAACCUAUUUUGGUGUUUUCUCCUCUAUGAGACAAGCCAAAAUAUAGACUUACUGU